UACGAAGGGGGCUAGCGUUGCUCGGAAUCACUGGGCGUAAAGCGCACGUAGGCGGAUCUUUAAGUCAGGGGUGAAAUCCCAAGGCUCAACCUUGGAACUGCCUUUGAUACUGGGGAUCUCGAGUCCGGAAGAGGUGAGUGGAACUGCGAGUGUAGAGGUGAAAUUCGUAGAUAUUCGCAAGAACACCAGUGGCGAAGGCGGCUCACUGGUCCGGUACUGACGCUGAGGUGCGAAAGCCAGGGGA
rnacentral:rRNA from 1 species